GUGCCAGCCGCCGCGGUAAUACGGAGGGGGUUAGCGUUGUUCGGAAUUACUGGGCGUAAAGCGCAUGCAGGUGGUGAGUUAAGUCAGAUGUGAAAGCCCGGGGCUCAACCUCGGAACUGCAUUUGAAACUGGCUGACUAGAGUACUGUAGAGGGGGGUAGAAUUUCAGGUGUAGCGGUGAAAUGCGUAGAGAUCUGAAGGAAUACCAGUGGCGAAGGCGGCCCCCUGGACAGAUACUGACACUCAGAUGCGAAAGCGUGGGGAGCAAACAGGAUUAGAUACCCCGGUAGUCCC
rnacentral:rRNA from 1 species